GAAGGUAAUUUGGGUUGUCGCUGCUAACGAUGAAUUGAAUAAUUUGUAUUAUUCUACUUUCU
rnacentral:tRNA from 1 species